UACGCAGGGGGCUAGCGUUGCUCGGCAUUACUGGGCGUAAAGGGCGCGUAGGCGGCACUGUUAGUCAGGCGUGAAAUUCCUGGGCUCAACCUGGGGACUGCGCUUGAUACGGCAGAGCUUGAGGAUGGAAGAGGGUCGCGGAAUUCCCAGUGUAGAGGUGAAAUUCGUAGAUAUUGGGAAGAACACCGGUGGCGAAGGCGGCGACCUGGUCCAUUACUGACGCUGAGGCGCGACAGCGUGGGGAGCAAACAGG
rnacentral:rRNA from 1 species